CACAGGACAUUACAGGCAUUUGAAAUCUAGUCCUUCUUUCCGCCAUGCCGUCCUUGCUGCCAACACUCAUUUUGUUGGCUGUCUCUCCAUGUGUUCUCUCACAGGUGGUUCUGACCCAGUCAGAUCCUGUGGUGAAAAAACCAGGGGAAUCCCAUAAAUUGUCCUGUGCUGUCACAGGAUUUGAUGUUAAUAGCUACUGGAUGAGCUGGAUCCGGCAGAAGCCAGGCAAAGGAUUGGAAUGGAUGGUUAGCUAUUACAGUACUGGUUCUGGAUACAGUUCUUAUUCCCCUGCAAUCCAAGGCCGAUUCACAGCCUCCAAGGACAGCUCCAGUUUCUAUCUGCAAAUGAACGACCUGAAGGUGGAAGACACAGCUGUGUAUUACUGUGCAAGGCAUACAGUGAAAAGGAUCUCAUUAAAGUUCAAGCAAAAACCUUUCCCUGCAUUGACUGUGGUGAGAAGUUAUCAGAGGGGGUGCUAG